UACGUAGGGGGCUAGCGUUGUCCGGAUUUAUUGGGCGUAAAGAGCGUGUAGGCGGCUAGAUAGGUCCGUUGUGAAAACUCGAGGCUCAACCUCGAGACGUCGAUGGAAACCAUCUGGCUAGAGUCCGGAAGAGGAGAGUGGAAUUCCUGGAUGUAGCGGUGAAAUGCGCAGAUAUCAGGAAGAACACCCGUGGCGAAGGCGGCUCUCUGGUACGUGACUGACGCUGAGACGCGAAAGCGUGGGGAGCAAACAGG
rnacentral:rRNA from 1 species